rnacentral:rRNA from 1 species
GACGAACGCUGACGGCGUGCUUAACACAUGCAAGUCGAACGGAGAUAAUGGAGUGUUUACAUGAAAUUAUCUUAGUGGCGGACGGGUGAGUAACACGUGGGUAACCUGCCCUAUGGAGGGGGAUAACACAGAGAAAUCUGUGCUAAUACCGCAUAACAUAACGAUAUCGCAUGGUAUUGUUAUCAAAGAUUAAUUGCCAUAGGAUGGACACGCGGCCCAUUAGCUAGUUGGUGAGGUAACGGCUCACCAAGGCGACGAUGGGUAGCCGAUCUGAGAGGAUGAACGGCCACAUUGGAACUGAGACACGGUCCAGACUCCUACGGGAGGCAGCAGUGGGGAAUAUUGCACAAUGGGGGAAACCCUGAUGCAGCAACGCCGCGUGAGCGACGAAGGCCUUGGGUCGUAAAGCUCUGUCUUAGCUGACGAUAAUGACGGUAAGCUAGGAGGAAGCCACGGCUAACUACGUGCCAGCCGCCGCAGUAACAC